rnacentral:rRNA from 1 species
AGGCAGCASUAGGGAAUCUUAGACAAUGGGGGAAAGCCUGAUCUAGCCAUGCCGCGUGAGUGAUGAAGGCCCUAGGGUCGUAAAGCACUUUCAACWGWGAAGAUAAUGACAGUAUCWGUWRAAGAAACCCCGGCUAACUCCGUGCCAGCAGCCGCGGUAAUMCGGAGGGGGUUAGCGUUGUUCGGAAUUACUGGSCGUAAAGCGCACGUAGGCGGAUUAAUAAGUUAGAGGUGAAAUCCCAGGGCUCAMCCCUGGAACUGCCUUUAAUACUG